UACGGAGGGUGCAAGCGUUAUCCGGAUUUACUGGGCUUAAAGGGUGCGUAGGUGGGCAUGUAAGUCAGUGGUGAAAUCUCCGGGCUUAACCCGGAAACUGCCAUUGAUACUAUUUGUCUUGAAUACUGUGGAGGUCAGCGGAAUAUGUCAUGUAGCGGUGAAAUGCUUAGAUAUGACAUAGAACACCAAUUGCGAAGGCAGCUGGCUACACGAAUAUUGACACUGAGGCACGAAAGCGUGGGGAUCAAACAGG
rnacentral:rRNA from 1 species